rnacentral:lncRNA from 1 species
GUCCUCUUCCCAGUCUCUAUUUUUUAUUCUCCAGCCAAGUUUGGCACCGGAGCAGCUACUUGCUCUGGUUCCCUCUUUUUUUCCUUUUGGCAACGCCUCCACAGUGUUGUUUACCGGUGCCAAAUGCCAAAUUUGGUAUUUGGCACCCCUAUUUGGCAUACAUUGUGGAGGCCCUAAUGUGCUUAGGCCUAUAGCUGUUUAAUUCCUUCGGUAUUUAUUUGUUAGUUUUUCUAAUGAUUGAUGCGUGAAAAUUACUUGAAUGCUAGGCAAUGUUAACCUCAACACCUUGAUGAACAUGUUCAGUGGGCUUGGUGGUGGUUUGGGUGUUCCAAAUGCCCCGAAUGGUUAGUAGAUGCACUUCAUAGUUUCACAUCGGAAGUGAUGUUACCAAGCCACUGUACAUUUUCAUAAGCCUUGCUCAUUCAUUCAGUUUCCACAUUCGCAGUGCCACCGGAAGAACUAUAUGCAACACAGCUAGCUCAGCUCCAAGAAAUGGGUUUCUUUGACCCACAGGAGAACAUCCGAGCAUUGGUCGCCACUGCUGGAAAUGUGAAUGCUGCAGUGGAGCGACUUCUUGGGAAUUUUGGGCAAUAGAAGAUGAUCGAAGUUCUCUGCCUGGUGUUACCUGUAGUUCGCACCUUGAGAUUAUCUGGUUCGUUGAUUUUAUACCUGGUCAGAUUAAAAGGCAACAUCUAGAUUCUAUGUUUUAAGAUGAAUAAACCAGUCUCUACUGGCUAUCCUUUGCAUACAUGGGUCCUGUGUCUUGUGGUUAAAUUGUGGUAUAUUGGUACCUUGAGUCGGUGUACAACUGUACAUACAUGUUGGUACUAUGGGGUCUCAUUGAGUGUACAUGACUGUUGUUUUCCUACUUGGUGAGCUAACCAUCCGUAUGUUGCUGACUUCUUCAUUGAAGAUGUCCUUUUUUUUAGGGAGAACAUGUCCUAGUUUUCUGUACAUGGGAUUUGAAAAGCUCUUGUUCAGUGAAAGUGAGCACGGCGCCUGAACCGCCUGCCGUUGCCUUUUUGGUUGAGACAGCCAACCUCAUGACGGUCUAUGUGAUCUACACAUACGUAGCCUCGUUGCUGAGAAAUUCACAAAAUGUCGUGCUCAGUACCUUUUUUUGGUGUUUGUCCCAAACGCACACGUAUCCUUUCAUUAGACAAAAUGAACUCUUUUCUUUGGAAAUUUAGCAAUUUUUUUAUAACUCACUUUUUGCAUCUGAACCCAUAUGCCAAAUUUUUCAGAACGAGAUUGCCCCUGCCUUUUCUACUUCGAUGCCAGUUAGGUGGUUGUAAAUUUGUGUAACGCAAUAUUGUUGACGGAAUUUCCUUAAAAAAAAUCCCAGUUAGGCCUAAUUCGGUUGCACUAUUCCGGCUGGUAAUGGAAUGGAUUGGGGGAAAAUUGAACUCAAUUUGAUCAAUUCUCCGUUGAUCCCCGCCGGAAAUGGUAGAUCCCAACGGGCCCUUAGGGAAACGCGGUUUACCAGUUUACUAGACAACGCAAUAUUGUUGACAGAAUUUCCUUCAAAAAAUUAUAUUGUUGACGUAAGAAACGUACUCUCAGCAUAGCACAGUCCGAUACACAAUACGUACUUCUCAGAACUACGUUUCCCGGCUGUCUCUCCGACGACGGGCCUAGAAUCUUCUCCUAUCCGCACCGACCCUGACAGCCCAUUCCACGUAGGGCCCACCUAGCACACGCCGUCUCCACAUCACGGAAGGAAUCGCAGCCGUCCAUCCAUCAUCGAUCAACCCCUGUCUCACGCCACGGUCGUCUCAGCCCAGAGUUAUUCCUCGCUGCCUUGCCUUCCCUUCCCUUCCCUUCUUCCUCCUCCAGCGCACGGCGUGUACAAAAGCCAGAAAAAAGAGGGGAACGAACAAACGCCUCGCACACACAACGACAAGAACAAAGUCUCAAACCCCUCCAGAGCACUCGCCGGACCCCGAAUCGGAGCGGAAUCCCGGCCGAAUCGAGGCCUAGGGCUAGAGACGGGAUGGGUGGCGGCGAAGGAGAGGGUGGCGAGUCCGCGGGAGCCCCGCCCGCGACGCUGCACAUCCGGGGCGCCAGCGGCAACAAGUUCGCGGUGCAGGCCGACCUGGGCACAACCGUCGGGGCGUUCAAGGCGAUCGUCGCCCAGAGCUGCGACGUGCCGGCGCCGCAGCAGCGGCUGAUCUACAAGGGCCGGAUCUUGAAGGACGAGCAAACCCUAGCCAGCUACGGUGCGUGUACCUUCCUCCUCACUAGGAAAGAAGGAAAAUCUUGCUAUUUUCUCGCGAUUCUGUCUAAUAUGCCUCUAAUAUGCCGUGGUUGAUGAUGUGGUUAGUUAGGACCUGUGCGUGUGCUCCACGCCUCCAGUUACGCCUAGUGUUAGUUGGUAGUACGCUAGAUGCAAUGCCUGCCUUGCCGUUUGACGAUGCAGGGUGCUGGUGCUUCCUUUGACGAUGUAUUCGGAUUAUGUCGUAGGUUUUUUCCAAUCAUUGUCUCUUGGUAAAUGCAGCAUGGUGGUUAGGAAUAGACAUCCGCGUAGCCUUUUGGCGUUGAUUGAUUUUGCAGCUUAUGUAACUUAUGCUAUAGAAGUGAAAUGAACACUGAUUUGAAGCCUCAAAGGGAAGGUAGUUCCAAAUAUCAUGGAGCCAUGCACGUUCCGCCGUUAAGUGUGCACUUUGUAUUGGUAAGUAAAUUCUAGGUGGCGAUACAUGUGUUGGAUUGUAGACUGCAACUAGUAGGCAUGCAGGAAUACAUGUUUCUUGCUGGAUGCGUGCACCAUGAUGGCAUCAUAUCUUAUUGAUCAGCCAAUAGUAAGGCUUAUUAUUAUUGUUUCUGGGUUCCCACCAAUAAAUUUAUUUAGUUCGGUUUCAAGGGCUUUUUGUGAACAAGUCACAUCCACGUGUAACGGUAUCUUGUACAGCUGGUAUGUCAUCAUGCCAUUAUUAUUAUUGUUGUUGCAUUAAUUUUUGUCGUGUUUCGACAACAACAUGAACCAUCUUUUAUAGCAUUAUCCAUCUAGCACUUUCCGUGACACGGAACAGUUCUACGUCAAAUUAUUGCUAAGCUUUAGGGUUUUACAAAAUUUGAUAUAUGCAUGGGAAAUCCUUUUGCAUGAACCUACUCCCUCCGAUCCUAAAUUGUUGUCGAAAUAUUACAUGUAUCUAGACGCUUUUUAAGAAUAGAUACAUCCAUAUUUGGGCAAAUUUGAGUCAAGAAUUUAGGAUCAGAGGGAGUACUUUACUUUGCACCACAAAUUAUAAGAUCAGGUACACCGGAGUUCUAUCGAUAUUUUUUCGUAUCCAUAGCUUUGUUCUCAUUAAAAAAAAAUCCUCUCUAGCCAUUGUUACAUCAUUGAUCCAGUUUCAGACUGCACAAUAGGUUAAUAUAGCUUUUACAUUAUAUCUUUUUUAAUUUUCAUGUUUGGUCCUUGGCAAAGUUCAAAUAAGUUGGAUAUAAAUCACAACAUGAGCAUGUCAUAUGUAGCUUGUUCAUUUGGAACAGAUCUUUUAUUAGUACAAUUUUUCCAUACAGUACUGUGUAUUCAAUGUGUAUGCGAGCAAGUGGUACAAUAAAUGAAUCAAAUAUUGGUAGGUGACAAAAUUUUGAGUUACGUGGAGUGAAAGAAUUUUGUGUUUCAGCAUUGACUGCAUAUUUAGUGUUUGAGUCAGUAAGCUGUUGGCUGUUGACUUCAUUAGUGUUUCCAAGUUUUGCUUAUUCUUAUGCCUUUUCCUCCCCUUGAAGGUGUGGAGACGGAUCACACCAUCCAUAUGGUGCGUGGUGCUGCACCACCAGCAACAGCAGCUCCACCCGCUGCAGUCAACCAUGGGACUUCAACUACUACUCCUUCUAAUACUCCGGCUGCCGGUUUAGGAGGCUUGUUGCAAGGUCUGGGCGCUACAGGAACUGCUGGCACCGGGUUGGGUUUUCCUGGCACUGGGCUUGCAGGAUUGGAGCAGAUGCAACAACAGUUGACUGAGAAUCCCAACUUAAUGAGGGAAAUAUUGAACAUGCCAGCCAUGCAGAGUAUAAUGAACAACCCUGAUAUAAUGCGCGAUAUGAUUAUGAGCAAUCCUCAAAUGCGUGAGCUCAUUGAUCGUAAUCCGGAUCUGGCACAUGUCCUGAAUGAUCCAAGCAUCCUUCGUCAGACUGUUGAAGCGGCUAGGAAUCCUGAGCUUAUGAGGGAGAUGAUGCGGAACACAGACAGAGCAAUGAGCAACAUCGAAUCUUCUCCAGAAGGGUUCAAUAUGCUUCGCCGCAUGUAUGAAACUGUUCAAGAGCCACUACUGAAUGCAACAACAAUGGCUGGGGAGGGUGAUAGAAAUUCAAACCCGUUUGCAGCUCUUCUAGGAAACCAGGGGUCUAACCAAGCCAGAGAUCCAGCUGGAAAUGCACCAACUACUGCUUCAGAGUCCACGACAGGCUCUCCUGCUCCAAAUACUAAUCCGCUUCCAAAUCCCUGGAGUGCAAAUGGUAGGUUUUCGGUACCCCCAUUCUUUUUGUUGCUGGUAUGUGCAUUUGCUCCCUGUUUUGCUAUCUAACACUUAAAUCUGCAGCUGGGCCUGCACAAGGAGCGGCAAGGCCUUCUCCUGCUAGCAAUGCAAGGAGUGCCACAAGCGGUGGCCUAGGACUAGGAGGGUUGGGUUCUGCAGAUUUGGGAAAUAUGCUGGGUGGUGGCUCUGAUGCUUCCUUCUUGAACCAGGUUUUGCAAAACCCAACAAUGAUGCAAAUGAUGCAAAAUAUUAUGUCUAAUCCUCAGUCCAUGAAUCAGGUGCACUGCUUCUAAUAUUUCUGUUCUGAAUAAUUUACUAGGAACCUACUUAUCGAGAUGAGUUCAUAAUGUUCUGACACCUUCAUGAUGUUUUCUUGUGUGCAGUUGCUCAACAUGAACCCAAAUGUACGUAACAUGAUGGAAUCAAAUUCCCAGAUGAGAGAAAUGUUUCAGAAUCCAGAAUUUCUUCGACAGUUGACGUCUCCCGAAACAUUGCAGGUGAAAUUAGUGAUACUACUUUAUUUAUAUGUGACUAUAUGGAAGACUAAAUAGCCUCUUUUUUUGCAGCAACUGAUUUCAUUCCAGCAGGCUAUGACCUCCCAACUUGGUCAACAACAAGCUGGCCAGUGAGUCUCUUGAACUCAACUUGACUUCCUUAGCUCAUGAUGUUUUUGAUUACCUGUUCUACAUGUGACUUUUCCUUGUUGAGCCUGAAAUGUAGAGGUUUGGUAUUAAUUAUUUGCUGCUAAUAUGCCUUGCUCUAUGUUCUGUUUGUUGAAUCGGUUUUUUUGUUUGAUUCAGGGAGCGGACCCAAGCAGGCACUGGUGCAGGUAAUUUCGUCUACGUAUUUACCAUCUGUCCAUCUUCAUGAUCUUUCCUAGCAUUGAUGCACCUAGCAGUGAUGCAUCCUUCAUCAGUUUUCUGCCUGAGUCAUUUAGAUUGUGCUAUUGAUGGCUGUUUUUCAGCAUUAAUUUCCCUUCCCAUAAGGUUUGAUUCUGUAUCGAGAUGUAGAAUGUUAGAGAACUAAGAUUUUUCAACCCGUUUGGGUCUGCACCUUUGUCAUAUAAAUUGAAAAACAAGAAAACAUAUGAACGCCCAUUGCAACAACAGACUGUAUACUAGGAAGCAGAUUUUAUGUUUUCUGAUUUAGGCCUGUAUAUCAUGGUUUACUUUCUUUCCAAUAUUUUUGAGAUACUUGAUCCGACUUAGAUGGGCUCAAAACCUUUAUGUGAAGUCGAUGCAUUUUUUUAUUACCCUUGCAAACUUGCAGCAAACUAAGUGUGCUUAGGCCUAUAGCUGUCUAAUUCCUUGGAUAUUUUGUUCGUUUGUUUUCUAAUGAUUGAUUUGUGAAAAUUACUGGAAUGCUAGGCAAUGUUAACCUCAACACCUUAAUGAACAUGUUCAGUGGGCUUGGUGCUGGUGGUGGUUUGGGUGUUCCAAAUGCCCCGAAUGGUUAGUAUAUGCACUUCAUAGUUUGACAUCGGAAGUGAUGUUACCAAGCCACUGUAUUUUCAUAAGCCUUGCUCAUUCAUUCAGUUUCCACAUUCGCAGUGCCACCGGAAGAACUAUAUGCAACACAGCUAGCUCAGCUCCAGGAAAUGGGUUUCUUCGACCCACAGGAGAACAUCCGAGCAUUGGUGGCUACUGCUGGAAAUGUGAACGCUGCAGUGGAGCGACUUCUCGGGAAUUUUGGGCAAUAGAAGAUGUGAUCCAAGCUGUGUCUGGUGUUUUACCUGUAGUUUGCAUCGUGAGAUCAUCUGCUUCAUUGAUUUUAUACCUGGUCAGAUUAAAAGGCAACAUCUAGAUUCUAUGUUUUAAGAUGAAUAAACCAGUCUCUACUGGCUAUCCUUUGCAUACAUGGGUCGUGUGUCUUGUUGUUAAACUGUGGUAUAUUGGUACCUUGAGUCGGUGUAGAUACAUGUUGGUACUAUGGGGGCUUAUUGAGUGUACAUGACUUGUUUUCCUACCCUGGUGAGCUAACCAUCCGUAUAUUGCUGACUUGUUUCAUUGAAGAUGUGCUAGUUUUCUGUACGUGGGCUCAUGGAACUGGAAAGGCGAUUGUUCAGUUUAAGUGUGCACGGCGCCUGAACCGCCUGCCGUUGCGUUUUUUCGUUGAGACAGCCAGCCACAUGACGUUGCUCUGUGAUCUACACAUACGCAGUUUGUUGCUCGUCCGACGUUUCCUUGUUAAUGCAACUUUUCCUCGGCAAGAAGGCGGCCACGGCGCAAAGGUACGUGCCACUGGAACAUACGGAGAGUCCUGAUACCGUGAAGAGAUGGAAUACCAGCCCCCGUGUAUCGUCAGAUAAACUGAACGUGUAAGCACCCCGGUUCACCCACCGCACGUACCGUAUCGGUUGAAGAAAAAUCCUCAGAAGAGCUGUGGUUAGCUCUCGGGCAAGCAAAGAUGGCACGGUCGUUCCCACAUGGAUAGUGUGGUACUCCUCCACGAUGUCUGCCCGUCAGAAAGACAGAGAAAAAAAUGUCUCUUCGAUCUGCCCGUGGCCAUGGUUUGCAACAAAAUGUGAACAGCAUCUACGUCGGUCAGAAAAAUUCCCAUCCCCCGUCGCGUUCACACGCCCAGUUCCGUCGUUAUUUCCCCCAAUUCGAUUUUAUCUGAUGACCACAGCGGGAACUAGAUUUCGGUCUCUAUUUUUCUGGACGGCGAUCGCCGGGGGAGCGUGUGGUGGAGGCACGGGCCAUAUCCGUUCCGCCAGCCACCGGGAGAUCCCGAGAGAGCAGAAGCCUGGCGCAGAAGCGCGCACACGUAGCGGGCGUUGGAUCAAAAGGCCUGCGUGCGCCGUAGCCCCACGAGAGCCACGAGAGCCCAGAAACAUCUCAGAGGACGCGACAAAGCCCUCGGACGUCCGUUCUCGCCCGGCCUCUCGUUCGUUCCCGCUAUAAGUGUCCCCCCCUCGCGGCGACCCUCGCGUAAUUAAGGCGUAAAACCGCAGCGGCCGCACGUCGUCCAAGCCAUUGUUCGUUCCGUUAGCCAUGGACCCCUACAAGGUACGUGCUCCCUCCCUCCCUCUUUAGCGCUUACAGCUUAGCCAUGGCCGUUCUCGCGGAGCCGCUGGCCGGGAGCGUUGCUGCUUUGUUCGGUUUUGGUUAAUUUAGCUGAUGGGGGGUGUGUACUGUGUUUCUUGUAACAUGUGCAGCACCGGCCGUCGAGCUCCUUCAAUGGCCCGAUGUGGAGCACCAACUCCGGCGCGCCCGUCUGGAACAACGACAACUCCCUCACCGUCGGCCCCCGAGGUAUGUGCCUUACGUUACGUGCCCUGCCCUCUCCCUUAAGAUUCGUUCUUUUACCACUGCUUGUGAACGGUCACUGUAUAUAGUUGGGAAACGCUCGAGUCGAGUUGCACGUACUGAACGUACUAGCACAGCACGUAUGUACGCUGCUGUCGAUAUAGUGAUUCAGACGAUUUCUUCCAUGGCAUGGAUGGACUGGAUUCGGUCCUUAUUACUUGGGGAAACAUUGUGACUGAAGUCCACAGAUUAGAGCACGGCAGAUCUCUGCCUAUCUGUGCAAACUGCAAAGUAGGAUGAGGUGAUAAGGUUGUAAAAUUCGGAAAACAAGCUUCAACUGAACCUCGGUUGCCUGAUGAGCCGCCGGUUCUCUAUAUCGCACGGUCAGAAACCAGAAACACAACACCAAAGAAAGUGUCCAAAAUAUUUUAGAACAGUGAUGAAAAAAAAAAAGAAGUUCCGAGGAUAUUCGAAUGGUCUGCGUUGAUAUGCAUGUUACGUUGUUUACCGGUAGUACAAAUCUUACAAGAGUAGCUGUUGGUGUAAAAAAAUGGUUUAUUCGAAUUCAGUAAGCAAUGAGGUCCCUCUAAGCUUUUCAACUAACUUGAGGGGUAUUGGGACACAUAAAAAGUUCAUGGUAAAUACAGACAAUUCCCUUGAAAUAAAGCAAAAACAAACGAUAGAUUUCCCCCCAUAUGUAUUACUGAAGAACACUGUGCUUUGGUCAAUACUUAUUGAAGGCCCGAUCCUGCUGGAGGACUACCACCUGGUGGAGAAGAUCGCCAACUUCGACCGUGAGCGCAUCCCGGAGCGUGUCGUCCACGCCCGUGGCGCGAGCGCCAAGGGCUUCUUCGAGGUGACCCACGACAUCUCCCACCUGACCUGCGCCGACUUCCUCCGCGCCCCGGGCGUCCAAACCCCGGUCAUCGUACGCUUCUCCACCGUCAUCCACGAGCGCGGCUCGCCCGAGACGCUCCGUGACCCUCGCGGGUUCGCCAUCAAGUUCUACACCCGGGAGGGCAACUGGGACCUGGUCGGCAACAACUUCCCCGUCUUCUUCAUCCGCGACGGCAUGAAGUUCCCGGACAUGGUGCACUCGCUCAAGCCCAACCCAAAGUCCCACAUCCAGGAGAACUGGCGCAUCCUCGACUUCUUCUCGCACCACCCGGAGUCGCUCCACAUGUUCACCUUCCUCUUCGACGACAUCGGGAUCCCCGCCGACUACCGCCACAUGGACGGCUCCGGUGUCAACACGUACACGCUAGUGAACCGUGCCGGGAAGUCCCACUACGUCAAGUUCCACUGGAAGCCGACCUGCGGGGUCAAGUCACUGCUGGACGACGAGGCGGUCACGGUCGGGGGUACCAACCAUAGCCAUGCCACCAAGGACCUUUACGACUCCAUCGCCGCCGGGAACUACCCGGAGUGGAAGUUCUACAUUCAGAUCAUCGACCCGGACCACGAAGGCCGGUUCGACUUCGACCCGCUGGACGUGACCAAGACCUGGCCAGAGGACAUCAUCCCUCUCCAGCCGGUCGGGAGGCUGGUGCUGAACCGGAACAUCGACAACUUCUUCUCCGAGAACGAGCAGCUGGCCUUCUGCCCCGGGAUCAUCGUGCCGGGGAUCUAUUACUCGGAUGACAAGCUGCUGCAGACCAGGAUCUUCUCCUACUCCGACACGCAGCGCCACCGUCUGGGGCCGAAUUACCUGCUGCUGCCGGCCAACGCUCCCAAGUGUGCUCACCACAACAAUCACUAUGAUGGGACCAUGAACUUCAUGCACCGGGACGAGGAGGUGGACUAUUUCCCGUCCAGGUUCGACCCCGCCAAGCACGCGCCACGCUACCCCAUCCCGUCUUCAACGUGCAACGGCCGCCGCGAGAAGGUAUCUCGUUCUUCUUCUUCUUCUAACUAUGAUCUGUGCGUGCAUUGCAUUGCUCAUUUGUUUGUGUGUGUUUGCAGAUGGUGAUCGAGAAGGAGAACAACUUCAAGCAGCCAGGGGAGAGGUACCGCUCCAUGGACCCGGCAAGGUGCGUACCAUCACUCCAUGACUCAACACGUCUGAAGCUCUGAUAAUCGAAUUUCAAAUUGACGGGUUUGACAUUGGUAUCUCGAUCGUUUGUAUGCAGGCAAGAGAGGUUCAUCAACAGAUGGAUCGACGCGCUCUCCGACCCUCGCCUCACCCAUGAGAUCAAGAGCAUCUGGCUCUCCUACUGGUCUCAGGUAUGAUUAAAUUGUGAAAUUUCAUCCACAACGAACAAUUAAGUGUGCCAGGAGGAUUAUAUAGAUUCUUAACUCUGCUCCCAUCUGCUCGUUCGUGCAGGCUGACAGGUCUCUGGGCCAGAAGCUGGCGAGCCGUCUCAGCGCCAAGCCGAGCAUGUAAGACCAGACAACGGCGCGAGCAAUUCAGAACUGCAUGCAAGCAUUCUUCCAUCUUAUAUCAGUAAAAGGAUCGAUUACGUAAUCCCGAUGCUGCAAGUACUUUAGCAUAAUGAGCUGGCCUAUUUUGAACGAGGACGUAUGAUAUGAUUAUUUCUACCACACAUUCCGCUCAUCGUCGUGCAUGUAAUAAUUAAUUUUGUGCAAUGCCCGUUCCUCCUGCAGAUACUUAUUGAUUAUUGUAAAGUGCACGCACCUUUGAUUAAUAAAUCAAAAGAAUAAGCCAAACAUAUAGUACUCCACAAGAGUAAAUAAUCGCGUCUGUUCCUUUUAUGAUCAUCGUUUUUUACAGCGACAGUAGUGAUGUGAUGACCAAAAAAUUUCUUCACCCGUGGAAUUUACUUGCUUUUUUUCUUCUCUCCAUAUUUUUGUUUCAAGGGAGUGUGCUGCUUCAUCUCCCAUACUCGCCAUCUUACUUUCCCGUGUGAAUUGCAGAAGUGGGUAUAUAUGUGACCUACACUUUGUUUUUCCCCUGCGCCAUAGAAAUUGUGGGUUUACCAUUUCUCUUUUCUUUUUCUAUUUUUGAGAAUCAUGCUAUGGCUUCUCUCGGUCAGUUUCUUUUUUUUGAGGGGAUUCUCUCGGACAGUUAAUACGGGCCGUUCUUUACUGGGCCGGUUGCUCAUUAACAGGCGAUUGAGGUCUAGCUGGGCUGGUGCCUUCUCGUGGUUGCCAGGCAGUCGAGCUUAGCUGCAUCGUUGGCCUAACAAAGGCCCAUGUAUAUAUUAGGGGAACAAUGCGGACGGAGAAAGAAGAGGAAAAGGAUCGAUCUGCGAGCGACAAGUGUCAGCAGCAGGAGUACGUUCACUCGUCACGUACAGGCUCUCCUCUCCUACCCUGACUCAACUAAAAAUACUCGUUGCUCUGCUCUUCACUAACAGCGCAUCACCCGUAAAUUAACCCAUAUCCUAAAAUCACAGCACAAUCUUUCCCUGCCACGCCUUUCCACUACCUUUCGAGUCCCACAGCAUACAGAAUCAGACCUUAAUUUACUCUUACCCGCAAUAACAACAGCCCCCAUGCCAUACACGUACAAACACCCCACUCGCCCAGCCACACUCCCGGGCGAGUUAAUCUAAAUUGCGGUCGCAAUCGGCGAUGAGCUUGAGCCAAUUAACUAAAGGAAUCUCGAUGAUUUGGCACAGACGGGCUUGCAGAUCUUCCGGCCGGGGCCCAGGGGGAGAAUCCGGAGGGCAGGCAGGCGCUAUAUAACUAACAACGGAAUCUUGGAACCAAUGGCGUUUGAUUACGUAGGCAUCAAUAAUCCUCGACAUUAAUCAAGUUUUGCGUUGUGUGUGGCCAUGCUUGACGCGAUGGAUGCUCGAAGCCGGUUAGUAGGAGUAGUUGUGCUCUUGUUCCGGUCGGGUCAAGCAGCAGCUGAUGAUUCCUUCUCUGAAAAAAGAGAGAGAGCCAGCUAGCUGAUAAUAUCUCCACACCAUCUCUUACUAGCUCAGCUUAAUUAAUUAAUUAAUCAGUUCAUCGUUCUCUCUCUCUCUCCCCUCUCUUUCGUUAAUUCGGUUAUAAUAUGGUUAGUUUAGUGUGGGUGUGAACUCUGGAUUAUGAUUAAUGGCUGGGUUGUUCUUUUGUUUAUGUGGGGAUCGAUGGUGCUUAGUGCGCACGGUGGUGCUAGCUGCGGUCCUAGUUCCAGUUCGACCACUGGCGCGCCAAGAAUGUGGUUCAUGAUCCACAAGAUGUUCUUUUCAAAGGAAACAAGAUCCACAAGUUGGAAGAUUAACGAGUUUUAUUUUUGUUGACAAGAAAAGGAACCUAAUACUAUACCCCAAAUUUGGAUGUUUUAUUAGCUAUUGGCUUGGUGCGAAUGAUGUUGAUAGGUGUUGUUUCCACGCGCAAAUGCCAUUAAGCAUUACUACCUCCGUUCCAUAAUUCUGGUCUCAAAUUUGUCCAAAAAUGGAUGUAUCUGUUCGUGAAAAACGUCUAGAUACAUGUAACAUUUCGACAAGAAUUAUGAAACGGAACGAGUACAAUUUUGUGCAAUUAAAGCAAACGUGGAGUAGUAGCCAUGUAGUUUCGGUUUGAAGCUGCUUGUUUUGGACCACGGUUAAUUAUCAUGUAGCAGCAGCUUGGAGUAUCUGAACAUGUCGUCGAUCUUGAUCUGAUUCUGUGAGCUUUGAAUGAGUCAAUCAACAAGUGUAGCAACUUGUCAAUAAGCAAAUGUGGGGCGGGAGUUAAGCUAAUCUUUUCGCCUUUGCAAGCUGCGUGCUGCCCACGGGUAAGCGCGCUCAAAGUUAGAGAUGUUCACAUCAACUUCGCGAGCAGCUCCUCUCUUUUUCUUGUUUAUAUAUAGUGAGAAUCCUGAAUGAAUAAUGUUUUAGCUAGAGAAAUGCAAGUUAUCCUUUUCAAUUUGCUAGCUAGAGACGGGACCUUCGACAGAAUUAACACAAACAAUCAGACCCACAUGCAGUUGGGAUGCAGCAAACUGACAGUCCAGUGUAUAUCAUUGGGAGGCAAGCAGCUAAUUAUUCGUUUAAUUUGUCUAUAUUACCCAAUCAGCGAAGAUUCACAUGCAAAGGUAGCUCAUCACGAGUGGAAAGCAAUAAUGACUUACCCUGAAAGGAACUGAAUAAACAAGUAUGCCCUGCCUAUCGCAUUACCAGUCGAUCGAUCGAUAUGUACUAGCUAUAAGCCACUAACUAAUCGACCAUCAGGUAAGCUCUGUCCAGCUAAAGCCUCUAUCGAUCCCACAGCACACACACACAUACUCAUAUAAUGGGUUCCAAGUCCCCGUAAACAAAUUAGCUAGUCUAGCCCCGUUGGCAUCUUGGACCACCGUGUGUGUGAGACGUGCCCUGAUGACCUCAUAGCCGCGACACUAAGCAUCCCCUCCUUUUAAUUUCCCUCCGCUUGUGAGCGAGGGGCAACGGAACACUUCAAAACAGCAAGUUGCUUCUCACAAUCAUUUUAAGAAACGUUUUGUGUGCAUAAAACAAAUCUGAAACCGUCUAAUAAAUUUGCAAAAACCGAGUUCUCAAACCCGCACAUAAGAUUAACAGCCGCAAAAAUAACUUACUAGAACAUCAAUACCCUAAUAUAAUCAUGCAUAUCUAUAUAAUUUAUAAAGUUGAUUCUCACUAUCUUCAUUAAAUGUUUGCAAACUUAACAUGCAAGGUGUCCACAUCAUCAUCUACCUCACCAUGCAUUCACAUCCCCACUAAGGUUCAUUUAGUGUUUGCAAACUACGCAUGCAAGAUGUCCAUAUCACCAUCCACAUCAUACACAUCAUGCAACCUGACAAGCAAUUUAUUUUGGUGGCACCUUAUACAAUUCAACUUUUAUCACUAAGAGUUUUCACCAACAUCACCAUCCACAUCAUUCAACCCGACAAGCAAUUCAUUUUGGAGGCACUUUAUGCAAUUCAAAUUUUUUUCACUUAAGAUUUUUCCAUCUAAGAAUUUCACAAGUAACAUGGUUUUACAAUAUUCAUAUUUCUUUUGCAUUUGUUCAUUUUUAUUAUCAUCAUCAAUUUUGGCUACAAAUAUGCACAUCAUGCAACAUCAAUUCUACAAAUAUGCAAACAGAAUUUUUCGCGGCAACGUGCGGGGAAUCACCUUGUAUCAAAUAACACAAGUAUGCCUUGCCUUAAGUGUUAACUCAAUCGAAUAGCACCAAACUUGACUAAUAUAUGCCAAUAGCAAGUAGAGAUGAUGACCAACCACGUAUAUAGCAAGAGAAACGCCAAAUAAAGAGUAGACACGAGGGGUUACGUGAAAACCCCUUGCGUGGGAAAGCACGAGCGGCGGCGAGCACGGACGUUUAAUAUGGAGAUGAAGAGUACAAGGUGGAAGACAACAAGGAUGGGGACGCUUCAAAUCCCCAACAAUCUCUCAAAGAAUUUAGAUGUAAUUUGGCAUAUCAAAUGUCUCUCCUCUCACGCUAACCCUAGAGCUGUCAAAAACCAAGAAGAACAGCAACUCACCGUUUAUUUUCGAGUAAGGGGAGAGCCCCAUAAAAAAAGCUUUGCAUUCAGCCCCUAACAUGUGCAAACAAGUUCUACUUCAGUCUACCAAAAUGGCUCUCAAAUGUUGAAAUUAGGAGCUGCACAUCACACAGCUGCUUUAAUUCCUCCAUUAAACUCGCACAAAACAAGUAGUGUUGUCUUUGUGUUUCAGUAAUUAGCUAGAAGGUCAUUCUGAUGGCAAGUAAUCUUCCUUCUUAGAUAGCGAAAGAUCGGAACACGUACACGCUAGCUCUUAAUUGUCCUGUGUAUCGAGAGACAUAUAUAUUGCACUCAGGUUCUUGAGAGUUCGAUCGGCGUUCACAAGAUAUUUUCCGGUACGUGAAAGUCCAAAUUGAGCAAUAGUAGUGCUAGCUGCUAUCUGAAUCUCUCUUGUCAAGAAAGAAGAAUUCAUGUCGCUGUCUCAACCAGUUCAACGGGCCAGCUUGCUUAACUUGCUGCGAUUAAACAUCCGUGCUAUAGCAGCAAGUCACGAUGGAAUUCUCGUAUUAUAUGGUGGAUAUACCAAAGCUGGCGAGAGUUGAAAACAAACACACACAUAAAUGUCUCGAGAUUCACGACAGCUGCUAGCUAGUAAGAAUUAGACGGACACACGUACGUACGCGUGCAUCGCCAUGCCGGAAUUUUAUAGUGAAUACUGCUAGCCCGAUCGAUCGAUGACUGUUUGACGUGACAGUACCGACGUUUCAGCGUACAUCAGCUGGAUCAUCUAUCUCCAUAUAUAGGCAGUUGCUAAUUAAGCUAGCUGAUCCAGCAGUGUGCAAUAGUCAGAGCAAGAAGAACGGUUGUUAUUGCUACCGUCUCGAUCGGGGCUUUGCUCACUAUAAGCUAGAUGACAGGAAGGUAUCUACAGGACUGUACUACGCUACUGGUAUAUGGUUUCUAUAUUUAGUAGAGUGGGUGGUUUUUGUCCGUCUCCUACAAUCAUGGAGCGAAGGAAGAUAUUUACACGUGCCGUACCAAUUAGACGAUGCCAGCGCCUUGCACUCGUGAACUAGCGUUUAUUUUUUUCUUCUCUGUUCUCCACUAACUGGGCAAAGACUAUACGUCUAUCUCAUUCUCACGUACGUACGGCGUGGAAUUAAAGGCACAAAAGAAGUGGCCGUCCAGUUACACAAGUGCACGAGCCGCGUUCCUUUCGUCACACUGGCGCCCACCAAAUAUACGUUCAAUAGUUACUUACAUAGUUGGGGUCUCUUUCAUCGAUCCAUAUAUAGAUCCCAGAAAAUUCAGAUGAUUCCAAUCCGUUGGAUUUUUCUCAUGCAUAUGGAUUCUAAUUUCUCGUAUGAUUCGUACGGCUGUAAUUAUUUCUCCUAUGGUCCAUAUAGUCCUCGUAGGAAAAUUUGCAUCGACUUGGACCUCCUGAAAGAUUAGGAAGGCUGAACAUUGAUCCAGAAGUUCAACAAAACAACAACAACUAGUAUCCUUUUCAAACGAGCAACAAUUCACCCGCCUCUUUUCUUUCUUCACCGAAAAAGAAAAAAGAACACCUUUUUUUCGCAGAAGAAGAAUGAAGAAGAGAAGAGCCAAAGGUGCGAUCCGCACGCUCACGGGCGGGACACCGCCGCCGUCCGCUCUGAAGCCCACACACUGCCUGCCCAGUGGGGCCACGUCGCAUCCGGGCCACGUCACCCUCCCUCAAUCACGAAUUCCCCGUUCCGCCCCUGCCACACCAAAGCCAGUUGACUUCUCGCCCCUAAACCCAGGGCCAGGCCCGUCAUUUCGUCUUACAUAAGGGCCCUCGGUGCCACUGACGUGUGGGUCUGCAAUCGAUGGGACCCACGCGUCAGGGUUGCAGUACGGCAGGGAAUACGACGACUCCAUUUACAAAUGGGCCCCGCGGGGGACAAGGAGAGGAGAGAUUCCGUCGUCGUCGUCAUCGUCAUCGUGGAGGAGGGGGAAAAAAAGGAGAGCGCGCCGCACUCCGAGGAGCAGAGCAGCUGCUAGCACUAGUACUUGUAUGCUGCCGUGCGCAAGUACAAGUCCAUCCACCACCAACCGCGUCGCCCUCCCUCCUCGGCUCCUCCUCCUUCGCCCGUAGUACGUAUUACCACUAGCCCGGGGGUCUUUAUUCUUGGGCGGAAUCUUCCCUCCCCUCCCCGUCUCGAAUACGGCAGUUCCCGCGAUUCUGAGAGCAAGAGACAGGGAGAGAGGCGUACUGGGGGCGCGCGCGUACGUGCUGUGCCCGGCCGGAUAAUUGGCUGGCUCAGCUCGCCGGACUGAACUUGUCGUGUUAUUCUAUCGAUCGGCGGCCGCCACGCCAUGGGAUGGGAGAGAGAGAUCGACCCGCUCCUCGUGCGCUGGCCGUGAUUCCGGGCUAGCUUAUACGGUGGGUUCGCUGGUUCUCGGCGUUCCGAUCUGAUCUGACGCAGCCUGCUCCGCCGUACGUUUUUUCUUUAAUUUUAACUUCUGGUCGUUUUCGCCAUCUUCUUCCUCUUUGAAACCUUUGUUUGUAUUCUCCUGUGGGCUGUGUGGGAAUUGAAGGAGGCGGCUAUAGCUAGGAGCGCUAGUCGGCGGCUAGCUUGGGAAUUGGAGGUGCACGCACACGCACGAUUGGGCGUGUAUCGUCUUGUAUUCCUCCACUCUUCCCGGGGCGGGCGGGCGGGGGGACGCGGGGAGGGGCGUGAGCGUGACGGCGAUGUGUCUUUGCUUUUUCCAUGAUGGGGAUGUGGAUGUCUCGUUCGCUUCCCCUUCCUAUUGCGUGCUGCUGUGGUGGGUGGGGAUGGAGACGACGACGACCAAGGCUUAUUAGCUAGUGGCUUCUGUUGCGGCAGCCAUGCGCCGGCCCCAAAAGAUCACAUCGCAUUCAUCAUUCGUAUCGUAUCGUGUUGCCUGCUCACUGCUCGAUUCCUUGGAUUUUGCCGUGUCACCGAUUUUUCUCCCUCUCACACACUUUUUUUUCUUCCUGUUGUGCGCAGCUAGCUAGCUAGCCAAUCCAGGGUUCGUGGCUGGUGUUUCUCGGCUGCCGGGCGGCUGGCUGCGGUUCUCCGGCCGGGUUGCUUGGUAUGCGGAGAAUUUGAGUAGUAUUGGGUGUGCUUGCUUAGUCUGGUCAUGGAGCAGCAGCAGCAGCAGCCGCAGAGCCAUGAGGACGGCUUGCGGGGCUGCGGCAUGAUGAUGGGCAUGCGGAGCGAUGUGGCCGGCCGGGAGGAGCUGGAUCUCAUGGAGGAGUUCCUGCUGGCUUCCCCCGGGCUCGAUUUCUCCGAGUUCCUCCACCCCGGCGACGGCGAGUUCGACAUCGGCAGCAGCAUCACCACCGCCGCCACUCCUCCUCCUCCUCCUCCCCCCGCGCUGGCCGGCGAUGACGACGACGACGAGGCGGACGCGGAGAGGCCCGGCCGCGCGUGGCUGCUCCAGGCUGAGGCUGACACGGUGAAAGAGCGGCUCCGGCGCGCGCUGCAGGGCAUCGCGUCGCGGUCGCAGUCGGCGGCGGGCGAGCUGCUGGUGCAGGUGUGGGUGCCGACCCGCAUCGGCGACCGGCAGGUGCUCACCACGUGCGGGCAGCCCUUCUGGUUCGACAGCCGCAGCGACCGGCUCGAGAGCUACCGGACGGUGUCUGUGAAGUACCAGUUCUCCGCCGACGAGAGCGCGUGCGCCGAGCUGGGGCUCCCCGGCCGCGUCUUCGUCGGCCGCGUGCCCGAGUGGACGCCCGACGUCCGCUACUUCACCGACCAGGAGUACCCGCGCGUCCGCCACGCGCAGCACUUCGACAUCCGCGGCAGCGUCGCCAUGCCCGUGUUCGACCGCCGCCGCAGCAGCAGCAGCAGCCGGGGGUGCCUCGGCGUCGUCGAGCUCGUCAUGACCACGCAGAAGAUCAACUACAAUGCCGAGAUUGAGAACAUCUGCAACGCUCUCGGGGUAUAGCUGAUACCGCACUGCUGUUCUUCUUCUUGUUCCCUUUUGAUUUUCUCCAGAAUUCCCUCGUGCCGUGUGUAUGUUGUCAUGCUCUUAACCUAUUCGAUGAAAUGGCCAUAGGGAAAGAUGUGAUAACUACCGGGCACGCCAAUCCCCGAAGUAAUCAGCCUUUCCACCUCUCUUUCUUUGAUGAUAUUCUUGUCUUAGUAAAACUACGUUUGUGGGAAUUUGCAGGAGGUUGAUCUCAGGAGCUCUGAUGUUUCAAGUGAUCCCCGAGCACAGGUGAGCUGAAAGACACCAAGAUAACGGUGUUAUGCGGUGAUGACAAAAUGUUGUUAUUACUGAGAGAUGCUGUUUCCUUGUUGUCAGGUGUUUGAAUCUUCUUACCGAGCAGUUGUACCAGAGAUCUUGCAUGUUCUCAGAGCUGUUUGUGACACCCAUAAGUUGCCACUGGCACAAACAUGGAUACCAUGUGUCUGCCAGGCCAAAAGGGCGAGCCGCCACUCUGAUGAAAAAUACAAGUACUGCGUCUCUACCGUGGACGAGGCUUGUUAUGUCCGCGAUACCGAUGUGAUCGGCUUUCACCAGGCUUGCUCUGAGCAUCAUCUGUUCAGAGGUGAGGGUGUGGUCGGCACAGCACUCAGGACGAAUGAGCCAUGUUUUUCCCCAGAUAUUACCACCUACAGCAAGGUCCAGUACCCUCUCUCACAUUACGCAAAACUUUUCAGUUUGCGGGCCGCAGUCGCUAUUCGACUGCGAAGUGUCCGGACUGGAAGUCUGGACUUUGUCUUGGAAUUUUUCUUGCCAAGGAACUGCAUAAAGAGUGAAGAUCAAGGGCUCAUGCUUAGUUCUUUGUCCAAUACCAUACAACAAGUCUGCUGUACAUUACGAGUUGUCAGUGUGAAAGAACUUGUGGAUGAUGAAUCACCUGAAACUAACUUACCAACCCCACCAGAAUUUUAUGCCAGGGCUACUGAAAAAUUCGAUGAGAUUUGUAGUGGCAUUAACGUUCCUGCAAGGACAACAUCACUGGAAGCUUCCGAGGAGGUAUCCUCAUGGAUUGCAAGCCUUGUGGAUGUUCAGAACAAGGGGGCAAAGGAAGAAAUAGAUUGCGACCUACCAUUUGGAUUCAGCAAACAAGAGGAUGAAGGGUUUAGUGUUACAGCUGGCUGGCGAACUUCACCGGUACUAGUACCUGAGGAUGGCUUCCUUUCAGAAUUUAAGCAGCACGAAGAAUACGAGGCCAAGGAAGUAAUUUGUUCCAGUGAUCCAAGCCUUUCCAACUCAGACAAAGCAGUAGAGAAGCGGCGAACUAAGAUGGAGAAAACUGUCAGCCUGCAAGAACUUCGGAAGCAUUUUGCUGGUAGCUUAAAAGAAGCUGCAAAGAAUUUAGGAGGUAACUUAUGACUCAAGAUCUCAAAGCAUCUCUACUGUCUUAACCUUUCUUUGGGUUACUUUGACUUGCAACUUCUCUGUUUGGAUGAGUAGUCAGGAGACUUUAUACAACUUGCUCUUUUUAGGAGAGUUUAUACAACUUUCUAGAAACAUGUUAUCACUGUAUCUCCCUUUACACACGUAUCUUUACUUGUCUCUCUAAUAGUUCAUUCAUGCAAUCCUGUUAACUAUGUGUUAGCAUAUAACAUAAACUUGAAGUUUAAAAUCAGCCAGGGAUACUUGUGACCGUACUUACUCGAAUAAAUUAGUUCUUAUUAAUUCAGCUUAUGUUGCUCUUACAACAGUUUGCAGUUUGCAACUGAAAGGCAUACUGAUCUUGAUUCUUCAUUGACUAUUUGCUUGCGUAUAAACUGCAAUUUCUAUGAUUGACUAUAGCUAUUGUCUUUCCACCAUUCUUUCCAGUGUGCCCUACUACAUUGAAGAGAAUAUGCAGGCAGCAUGGAAUUAAUCGUUGGCCAUCAAGAAAGAUCAAGAAAGUUGGGCAUUCCCUAAAGAAAUUGCAAAUGGUAAUUGAUUCGGUACAUGGAGCUGAAGGAACCGUCCGGCUGAGUUCACUCUAUGAAAAUUUCACCAAGACCACAUGGUCAGAAAGAGAGUUACAGGGAGACCUCAGUUGUCCAGCAUCAGAGCAAAAGGUUCACCUGGAGCCUUCAGUUCCUGAUCGACUGUGUGAGGGCAGAUUCAGUUCUCAUACCUCUGGCUCUAAUUCCCUCUCCCCCACCUACAGCCAGAGCUCAAAUUCUAGCCUAGGUUGUUCCAGUGAUCCGAAGCCUCAACAACAGCAUGGUAGUGCUCCUCAACCUGCAAUUAAGCAAGAAGUUUCUAUGGAGGAGAAUCAGAGUUCCAUACUGAUGAAAGCUGCGAGCCAUGCCGAACUGCAGAUAUUUACUGAAGAAAGACCCGUCACCCUUUGCAGGUCUCAGAGUCACAUGUUCUUCAGUGAACACAAACCAGUGGAGAACAUGUCAACCAUGCAAGAACAUAAGCCUGAUCCUCUCAAGAUAAAAGCCAUGUACGGCGAGGAAAGAUGCAUAUUCCGACUUCAGCCAAGUUGGGGUUUUGAAAAGCUAAGAGAAGAAAUCACGAAGCGGUUCGGCAUUUCUCAGGAAACUUGUGACCUCAAGUACUUGGAUGAUGAAUCGGAGUGGGUUCUUCUAACAUGUGAUGCAGACCUACUAGAGUGUGUUGAUGUAUACAAGUCAGCAAGUGCUAAAACAGUUAGGAUCUCGGUGAAUCCCACAGGUCAACCGGUUCUUGAUGGUUCCUUUGGUCAUACUGCUUUAUCAUGAGAGUGCUUUUCAAGAACUCAAAACAAGCAUCCAAUCUCCCAAGUAGAAAGUGUGUCUAUGUUGCCCUCAGUUUUUGGUCAUGAUGAUAGGCACAGGUCACAAUAUUUGGAGUUGUUAUCCAGACAGUAGUGAUCAGGUGAUCGGUGAAUUAUCAUCAGCCUUGUCUGUGCAUGUGACAACUGAAGAUGGCACUUUGUACUUCUAGACUAGUUCAUGUUCAGCCAUAGGAAAAAUAGUUUAUUUCAGUUACCAAACUAGUGUACAGAAUAGGAAUGAAUAGGAAUCUGUCGAAAUGAAGCUUUGCGUUAGGUUUAGACUCAUGGUCAAGUUACAUGGCAAAUGUAAGUUUUUGCUUGAAGGUUUAGAACUCUGAAGCAUUAUCUUGAAGGUUUCAACAUUCAAAAGCUUGCUUGAAGGCAUGGGCUGCUAAAUCGAGAGAAUGAUGCCUUGUACCAUCACUUGUUAGUUUGAGCACGGCGAAGAUGCACUCGUGCAAUCCCAAAUUGUCUUCUGGCCUGGGUAAGUAUCACCGGAACUACUUAUCUUUUCUAUUUUGAAAAAUACAAACCAUUCCGUUAGUAAAACCCAGUGGCAUGUUUAACUGACCUUACUUACAUCCUCAUAUUACAGAAUAGCACACAGAUGAGCAGAGCACCUGCAUUGUUUGCCAAAGGCAAGAAUAGCAUCAAGCUCAUCAUCUCCAGAGUGUAAAUUUGCAUUUCUGCUGAGAUACUAGAUCAGCAUUAGCAGCAUCCAAUCCUGUGUAUAUGCCGGGCCUGGAUAUAUCCGAGUGUUUCUCAUGCAUGACAGGCAUGCAGGGGCUGUCUAGACUCCUAGACAACUUCUAGCUGGCACGCGUGAGAUGUUUUCUUUUCCUCUUUCUUGGAGAACAAUGGAAUGUUAAAACAUUUUUUUGGUUGAGAAAUAAUCUUCUGUAUUAAUUGCCCUCGAGUUUACAGCUGUACAUUUUGCUUCAGAGAUCGCCCAAAAUCUGCAUGUAUCAGUCUCUGAUGUUCCUAUGUUGCAAUCAAUCAUGAGUAAGUAACACCAAUCGAACAGGUCUUAUGGCCUACUGUCACACAGAAAUAACAGAUGGAAUCCAUCAGUAAACGUCGUCACGGCUUGCCGCCGGAGCUCCGGUACGGCGACCGGCGCGGCGGCGGCAGCGAGUCCCGGGUCCCUCUGGACGUCUUCGCUGCGGCCAUGGACUCGAUCUCCUCAAGCUUAGCGACGACGUCAUCCAUGGAGGGCCGGGUCUUGGGAUCCCCGCAGAGGCACCGGUGGGCCAGCCUGGCGGCCCGGAGCGCGGCCUUGGGCGGGUACUGGCCCGCGAGCCGGGCAUCCAUGAGGCCCGCGAGCUUCCGGCCGCUGCUGCCGGAGCCUGAGCCUGCGCCGGCCCCGGCGAUGUAGGGCCGGGCCCAGUCGACGAGGCUCUGCUGGUGGCUGGGCCGGUUGAGGUCGUGGGCUCGCAGCCCAGUAAGCAGCUCCAGCAGCACGACGCCGAAGCCGUAGACGUCGCUCUUGACGUACAGGUGGCCCGUGGCCACGUACUCCGGCGCCGCGUAGCCGUAGGUCCCGAUGAUACGCGUCGUCACGUGCGACUUCCCCGCCGCCGGCCCGUGCUUCGCCAGCCCGAAGUCCGACAGCUUCGGGCUGAAGUCCUGCGUGUGGUUCAGUUCGGUUCAGUUCAGACAGAGACAGGGGUCAGACUUUGGGACCUGAAAAUCUCUACUGAAACUCUGUUCUGAGCUCGGAGAAUGCGGAUGCUUAUUACGGAGUCGAGAAGGAUGUUGGAGGCCUUGAAGUCGCGGUAGAUGAUCUGGGCGUCGGGUGAGUGGAGGAAGGCGAGGCCACGGGCGGCGCCCACGGCGAUCUUCAGCCUCGUGUCCCACGACAGCGGCUCGAACGCUGCGCCUCCUGCGCGCGAGAUCAACGUGAGGAUCAGACAAUUGCAAUGCAGUUGCGGUGUUGGAGAUCAAAUGUGGAAGAAGUCGGGGCUUUAUGUGAUUACUCCUGAAGAGGUGGUUCUCGAGGCUGCCUUUGGGCAUGAACUCGUAGACGAGGAGCAGCUCCCGGUCCUCGCCGCAGUAGCCCAGCAGCUUCACCAGGUUCGGGUGCGACAGCCUGCCCAGGAAGUCCACCUCCGACUGCACUUGAUCGCAAUGCAACAAACACAAACAAGAAAUUUACAUGUUACUAUUAAGAUUACACCAGAUCGGAGAAUUUUUGAAGGUGCUAUUUCUUCCCCGCGGUGGUUGGGCUGAUUAGAGAUAGAUUCAGGAGAUGACAUUGCUAUAAGGAGAUAGCCUUGGUCGAGAUAGCCUUGGUCCUGUAUAGUCAGACUACGUGUGUCGUAGCUCUGAGUUUAUUUUGUUUUUCUGAAACUGUUUGUUUAUUUCUCGUAUUCCUUUUGUUUCUAAAUACUUGUCGUUGUUUUAGUGCAAGUUUACUUGUUAUUUCCUCUUCUUAAUGCAACGGCAGUGCUCCUGCCUUAUCCCGAAAAAAAAGAGAUUGCGCCAAGGUUUGACUAGUACGUACGCCAAGAAAACGACUGGCUAGCUAAGAUUGAACCGGAAAUGGAGUAAUUUUAUGACGAGCUUCAAUCAAUUUAUAAACAAACAUACCCAAUUAACAGAUGUGUACUACCGUACUACGACUGGGUCGAUCGAAAUCAAUCAAAUGCGAGUUGACCAACGGAAAAAAAAUCAACGGAGAUGUAUCGAGUGGUACCCUCUGUCACGUUACGUUAUUACGACUGAAUCAACUCAAGCAAAGCAAGCAUGCAUGCGAUGGAGCGAGCAAGUGAAUCCGGGGAGCAAGUAAUGAAGCAGGCAGACUGAAUGAACUCUCACCUGCCAUUCCUGGAGGCCCUGCACGCUCUCCGGGUUGAGCUUCUUGACGGCGACGACGACCCCGGCGCCGCUCUUGGCCGGGUUCAGCGUGCGCUCGUCCGCCCAACCCUUGUACACCCGCCCGAACCCGCCUUCCCCGAGCACCAUCUCCGGCUUGAACCCUCUUGUCACCGCCCGGAGCUCCGCCAGCGUGAACACCCGCAGCCUCGCUGCCUCAAGAACCACUCCUCCUCCGCCGCCGCCAUUAACGCUCGGCCACCGCGGGUACUGCUCUUGCUCCACGCCGCCGCCGUUCUCCUUGGGCCACGACAGCUCCUUCCCUGCAGAUAAUAAGCCAAUGGAUCCAUCAAGCUUAAUUGCUGCUUUCUCUCGGUAAUUUGGAGCCGGAAAAGAAGAUCGAUUGAAGCAGAGGGAGCAGAGCAAUUGGCCAUGGCGCGUAAGUAACGUGCGUACCUGCUGGUUUGGGGGCCGGAGAUUGUGGUUGUUUCUCCUUCUCCUCGGGGCAUGAUCCGAAGCAGUUCCCCAUGUUAUUGGGCCGCCGGGGUUUGAUCGAUCGAUUCGAUUUGCUUGUGAAAUUCUCGUUGCGUGCGCGUACGUGUAGGCAGCUCCUUCUUGUGGUGGUAGGUGUAUGUGAAGCAGUGCUACUGUUGUGCUGGAAAUGAAACGAGAUGACAUGCUGGGAUGUGGACAGCGUGAGAACGAGAUGGCCCCGAGGAACCGGUCGUCGUCGUGCCUCUUGUAGGCUGCAGGGGAUCAACCAUGGUUCAUGGACCCAGUCCACUGUCCAGUGCUGUAAUACCCCGUUUUUCCUUUUGAAAACUUUAACCAAAAUUGAUCAUACCUUACAAACAUUAACCAAAUUUGACCUUUUUGCUCAGCACAGACCAGUUGGGCACUGAGGUUAGCGCCGAACGUAUGUAGACAUUGGCGGAUUUGCGGAAGAAUCGAACAUUAAAGGGUCGGUGCCAAAGGAGCCGGUGAAGCGCCAUUCCUGAUGGCCCGACCUCGACGUCAGUCAAUUUGUGCACCGAACUCACACGUCGAAUCAGUUUGGGGAACCGACGCCAAAUUUAGCUGAACUUUUCCUAAUUUUAUCAAACUUUAAAAAUUCUGAAUUUUAGGGCAAUGCAGUAAUGCUAGACCAUCUUAUAUAGGAAUGAAGGUAGUGUAGGAAAAACUAGAGGCGAGCUACAGACGGAUCGGAACGGUCAAACCUGAAGUUGUCAACGCCGAUGCAGCAGUGAGCAACUGGCGCACUUGACGUACGGUUGACAAAGUUGGUCCGUGGACUGGGUCCGUGCCAGCGCGUGGGGAGGUGCACGUACGUACUGUACGUUCCUGCCUGUUUUUUCAACGUGCGUGCUCUCCAAGAGUCCAAGUGUACGUUACUAGCGUUACUAGCUAUAGCUGCCGUCGAUCGAUCUGCACGUGAAAAAUGCCAAUCAGAAUUUGCCUUCGUUUCCAACUCAUGUUGGAACUGAGAGGGACUUCUGCCUGCAGUUUGAUUUUAAGGCAACAGGUCACGUCUAGUACCGGCUGAUGGAAGGAACGGCGAUACGCAGCGUUUCUAUAUGAGUUAGCAACAAUGAGAUCCUAGCUACUUUUGGGUCUGCGCAACAAGGUCACGCUCUCGUCUACUACCCUCCAACAACUUCACGUAAAUGUUCCGUUAUCUUAUGGAACUACUUCACACAAGAAAAUAAAUAGCGUCAGGUCAUAUGGAUCAGUUCAAUUUCCACCUAUUCCUCAAGUCAAAUUUCCACCACAGAUACAAACAAGCAAUGAUGAACAGUAUCAUGGUGCUGACUCUUUUUUUUUUUUUUGCGCACAGGUGCUGUCUGUGUUUCAACGGUUGCGCCUAAUCUUGCUGGGAAUGAAAAAAAAGUUGUCUACCAGUAGCACCCUCACCACCCUGCACCCAUGAUUGGAAGUCGAGCAACCUUGAAAUGAUAUGCUUGUUUGGAUUGACCCCUUGAGAGAUGCUAGUUGCCUUCGUUCAAGCUCUGCCGGGAGGAAAAUUGGAAUCAGUGAAAGCAGGAUGCACGGAUGUCAGGUAUUUUACUUUUCUUUUUCGAAAAAAGUUAAGUAUCUGCACAAACCAUUCUUCUAAAAGACGCGCCAUGCACCAACUUCUUUAGCUUCUCAGCGUCAGAUUUUGCACGGUCCAAAGCCUGCAGCACUUAUCACGUCAGCAAGACAUUGUACUCUUUUAUCACAGGGCAUUCCAUGUUGGUUACACGUAAUCUCAAGGAGCUUUCCCCAUCAUUUUGAGUCCUUUAGAUGGGAAAACUUCAAAUAAUUCAGUCUCUUAAGGAGCAUGUCAUUAGAAAUAUUUUGAGAACCAACUCCCUUAAUAGGUUAAGCAUGAGAUCAGAUGGUAAUCUGUUCAGUUCAGGUGGGUUUAUUUGAUGCGUCACCUGUUUUUAGCACAAGCAAGAUGACCAGCAACCAGCUAUCAGCAAUUAACAGUUGCCUUAAAGAACAUAAAUAACAACAUGCCAACAUCAUGAUCACAGUUUGUUCUGUUUGAUGAUACUAAACUGAUAUCUGCUACUCCCUCCGAUCCAUAUUAAUUGUCUCAAAUUUGCCCAAAUAUGGAUGUAUCCAUGGCUAAAAAGCGUCUUGAUACAUAUUAAUAUGGAUCGGAGGGAGUACUAUAACUACUCAGGCUGAACGGUGCUGAGUAAGCCAAAGUGAUGAAUUACCUCAGCAAGGUGUAUGCAAUGCCUGAAUUCAGUACAAAGAUUUUUAUAUCUACCUGGAUCAGAGUCUCAACUCUACGCCUCAUUCUUGUGUGCAUGAAUCCUUCGGAACACUGCAAUACGCAAAACAGCAUCAAGUGCUUGCACAGUCACUGUAGGAUACCACUUAUGUUGUAUCCAAAUAUUGCAAGUCAUGGAUAUGUUAAGCAGAAGAAUAUAAGACAAAGUCAUGUAUAUGUUAAGCAGAAGAAAAGCUUCACAAAGGAACCCCAGUUGGUUCUAAGGCUAGCCUGUUGGAUCAGUAAUUUCAGCUGGCUAAUCAAAACUAGACUUAGACUUAAAUCACAAAACAUGGCGGAUCUUGGUGAAGAAAAAGUAAAAAAAGAAGCAGUUCUGUGUUUUUCUACACCCAUUUCAUACAAGAAAAAUCCAGUGUGAAUCAACAAUGAAAUCGUCUGUGUUGCUGAUACAACAAUGAUAAUUUCAGUGUUCUUUUGCUAACCAACAACGAAAUUCAGUGUGAAUCAACGAAUCUUAAACUUCUGCAGCAAAAUCCGCCCAUUGAGGGAAAAUCUGCAAAUUGGCUAAUGCUGACUGAUUCACAGCUAUUUCAGGGAUCCACUAUCGUGAUAAAUAUGAAAGCAGCCCAUAAAUCAAGGAUCUUACCUUAACAUGGUAGCUUACGUAAGCAUGAAAUGUUAACAAACUCCAAACUGUUUUGUCUAGCUUUCUACCUUCAACAUGCCUAGGGGAAACGACUGCAUAAAGAAAGUCCAUGAGACAAAUAGAUAUCUUGGAAGAACACGGAAAACAAAUGGUAGUAAAUACACAUUACCAAAAGUAACAAAACCGGCAUUUGCAUUUAGUGCAUCCGCAUCCAUGCCUUUUAACUCAAGAGGAGGAACUGGAGACCACAUACAGGAAGGAGCGUUACUAAGAGCAGCAGUCCGCCUUGCUUCCACAAACUCCUAUAGAACCAUCCAAAAUUUUAAACAUGCAGCAGAAUGUGGCUUAUCAAACAACUUCCAGCAAGAUAGUUAUGUGGACAAAUAUGUGAAUUUCACUUGAGCUUCAUACAAAUCAAUUUAAUACACAGAAUAAGCCUAAUUGUAAGUCUACUAUAGAUGAACAGAAAGGUUCAUAAACAAGACUAAAUUGAAGCUGAAAGAUAUAAAAGGAACUGUCCUGAAUACCUGCAGGAAAGAAGUUGCUAAGACAAUAUCAAUGGAAUCCUGGAACCUCAUUGGGUACACAACAGUAACUUUAUCUGGCUGAAAAAAAGGAAUUAAUUUCAUCGAGUGCAUUUGCAACAGAUAUCGAUCAGAACCAAUACUAAACAUAAAAAACACGAGUGGUCUGACAUACUGAAAGUAUGUGUACCAAUUGAUUCAGAUAAAUUGAUAUACCCAAAAAAGCACCUAGUUGUUACUUACCAUACAAACAAAUGAUGUUUCAGAGUAAUAUACCUACAUUUGGGAUGUCUAUCCUCAAAAUAAUACCUGGAGAGCAAGGAAGAAUGAUUCAUUAGGACGGUGAACAAGGGCAACCAGCUUGUCCACGUUAGGAGCCACUGUCUUUGUAGCUAGAUGCUUCAGCAGAAGCUUCAGCGGUGCACCCAGCACAACCUCUCUCACAGAUGCAAUCUGUGUCAAGAGAGCAUUCCGCUGUUCUGGAACAUAAGAAAUGUACGUUGUUAGAAGAAAAUUUCAAAAGCGAGCAUGACUUAAUUGGACAAAAUCACUUCUCAGUAGAAUGCUAUGACUCAAACAGGUUUGAGCAAAACCAAUACAGCACAUAGUACUUCCACAACGUCCCUAGUUCAGAAAAAUAAGCAUGCAAUCAACAGUGCAUCAUCGCCCCAAGAAGCACAAAAAAGUAUCUGAGUUUACUAAUCCAACUGCACUGCAUAUAUCAAGAAUAAUGAAUGACUAAAGAGAAUUGGAAUCAUUAUAAUAACAAAAUAAAACCAAAAAAUCGAAGAUGCAAAUGAAUUGACUUUGUUGGAAUGAUAGUAGAUAUUUAGAACGUCAUACUGACCUCCUACAAAAAAGAGCACAGGAAAGAUAAGGGACCAUUUUAACUAAGGUGGGUUUGAUUUUAGUUUCAUUUACAAAAAUAAAAUGUCUUCAUGAAUUAGACAAACUAUAUCUGUGUUAGACAAAGUCCUGGGUGACUAACUGUAUUGUAUCUCUAAAGCAUCUAAAUGUACACAGAUGAAGCUGGUUUGAACAUCAACUUGCACCAAUAGCAUAAUUUUGCCAAUGGAUAACAUCCAAGAUACAUAGAACCACCAGCUAAUUUUAUCAUGUAGCACAACAAGACAAUGAUAACCUUGGAAAGGGAACUCUAGAACCUUCAUCUGGCGGAAGCUUUGUUAAAUUUAUCUUCAUUGUGAGAUCAAAGCCAUCCUUUGGAGGAUCAAGAAUUUGAACCACUGGCCCAUAAGCCGCCUUAAUAGCAUCAAUAGCACCAAGUGGAAGCCCGUCGUACAGAAUAGCUUCAGGAGGUGCGAGGGGCAGUGCCACUGAUAGCACCAUUGCCUUUGGAUUUCUCAUAGAGAACUGCAACAGAAGACUACUGUCCAUCAGUAUAUAAAGCAUAACCAUAACCUUUUAUGCACGUAACUGAAAUAAACAUGAAUAUGACGCAAAGUUCUUAAAUAAAACAAAUGAUUGGCUGCAAACAGUAGCAAUGGAAGCACUCGAAUGUUGAGCAAAUUUAACUUCACUUUCAGCUCAAAAUUGAGCGAAUCAGGAUUUAUAUAAUAAGAAAUUAGAUAGCAAAGAAAUUCUCACUGGCACAAAAACAUAUCAGUAUUAGCAACAUGAAUAUCCUGGAAUGCUUUGGUAACUUAAAGAAAGGAAGGUCAGAAUACCACCUCUUAUUAGUUCAGAUAUGUUCCUAGUAUACUUGCCCCCCUACAUACAAAAUAAGUGAAGCUGUACUAUGCAAGAUUUAACAUCACAGAACACAAUUUAUUGGACUGAAGCAAACACUGAAUUCAAGAUUGAAUCUAAAGACAACACACCAAAAUGGAUAGCCAAAUUCGCGCUAUCACAGAACUCAAUUUAUUGGACUGAAGCAAACACUGAAUUCAAGAUUAAAUCUAAAGAUAUUCGCGCUGGAGGAUACUAAGUAUUAACCUGGAUAUGAUACCGCACAUCAUCGAAUUCCACUGUCUGGCAAUCGAUGUCCACGCCCUUGUCGCCACUGCAACACAAGCAUAUGCAUGAACUACAGUGACAUCCUUUAGGUCAACAAGGGAAGAUCGGUCGUUCUGAGACAUACCUUAGGACACGUUCUUUUAGGAUCUGAAGCAAGAACCUGGACGGCGACUGGAGCAAUAUCAUCCUCCCCUAUCCCUUCUCCUGUGGACGAAAAGUUGAAAUGUCAAUUUGAGAAACUGUAGGGGCUUCGCUUCAACCUGUCAGAGCCUUCAGAUAAUUCUUCUGACUAGUGAAGACGGUGCGCCACUCAUUGUUGCCACAGCAUUCCAAUCCCAGCACACGAGGAGGAUCAACGGUUGAAUGCUCCACCCCAUGGCGGUUCCAUGCCAGGAGGUCCAGGACGUCGGGUAAUUAACCAUGGUAGCACGGGCGGAGGACCCAGUAGGGCAAGGUAGGGCGGCCGCCCCACCUUGAUUUUUGCCUCAGUUAUGAAUUGGGGAAGAUGAAACGGGGAGCUAAAGGGCGGAAUCCGUUCGUGGGGUGAUGGGAGGAGAAACGGUCGGGAGAGAGAGAGAAUCGAAGGGGAGAUCAACCUGCGGUGGAGGCGCUCGCGCGAGGAGGAAGACGAGCUAGGGGCUGGGGCGCUCGGGAGCGGGACGGGGAGGAACACGAGCUAGGGGCUGGCGGUACUGGAUCCGGCGGCGGCGCCGAUCCAGCGAGCAGCAACGAGGGCCUCACGCGGUGGCGGCCCGUAGAAGCUGGCUAGACAGCGGCUUGGGAUGGGCCGGAUCUGCAGCGACGGUGGCCGGAUCCGCAACGACGGCGGCCUCUCUCUCUUUCAACGGAACAGAGGAGGAGGAGAAGGAAGAAGGCGAGCCUGAC